GUCUUAUAUUUUUAUGCAAAUCGUAAAGUAAAAAAUUACAAGUUUCUACAGUUAAAUCGAAGACAAGAAAUUUGAAAUACCAUACUCUGUACUCUUUACUAUUAUUUAGUUAUUAACUAUUUAUGUAUUCUUAGUUAUUGACGUUUAUGCAUAAUACGAGAAAUUUAAAUAUGAAAGUGAAACAUGAUCUUGCAUAAAUAUCCACAGUCUACUAGUUGUUCUCCUUUCGUUCGAGUCACUUAUAAUUGCCCAAACCUGUUACAUUUUACGAUGCAGUAACAUAACAUUAUAGAAACAACCAAAGUGACGUGACAAAGGAGAAUGCAACAGUGAGUGAAUCGUCGAAGAAAGAAACUACGAGCGUGCAAAAUCAGCAGUUGAACAAACUACGAGGCAUAGAAAACACCGUAGCUAUUAGACUGACAGCUUUUGAUCAUCCUGGAUCCUCGAAGUCGCCACAAUUUAACAAGAAACCUAUCUCGAAGCCUGGUCCUAGUAAAGUGAAGAGCACUCAAAGCAAAGCAACACAAAUGCGUCAAAAUUUAAGUACUCAAAGGCUACAGGAAAACGAAGACAUCGACGACGAUGAUUCUUCUUUGGAUAUAGAGAAUGUUGGAAGACCACAAAAAUACGUCCUAGUCGGAUGGGACAACUUUCGUUCUAAGCUGAUGAUCACUCUACUGGUUCUUUUCGUUUUAUGGGCAGUCAUCUAUUUUCCUCUGAUUAGAAUCUGAAAUUCGAUGCAAAAAUAAUAUUUCUAUAUCAUUCCAUAAACAUACUCUUCAGUGUAUUUUAAUAUAAAUAUACAAUGUAUAACAUAAGAUACACAUAUAUAAAGUGAAUUUCUAAAGUCUAAUCAGAAAUAAAUAACUGGUUCAUAUUAGACGCAGACAUACAGGAUAUUAUUCGUUCAUAUGUAAUAGAGCAUUUCUUUAAAUGUUACUAAACGGUAAACUUGUUCGUCACGGACCGCGAUUAUCGGAAAACUCCGGAGUGUAAAUAUGUACAUACUUUUUCUACAAAUAAAGUAUCAUUUCUUCUAUUGAACGAUAAAUUCUUCAUUCCUAAAUAUUAUCAUAUAAUUGUGUAAAUUUAUUCCAAAGUUUAUUUUUCUAUGUUAUUAAAAUUUGCUACAACUUCAUUGUAACUAAAACUAGUCUAUGUUCAUUAGCUAACAGAUAUCGUACAGUAUCUCUCAAGCUCACAAGGCAAACUUGAGACACUUACAUGCGAGCAGCCGCUCGCAUGUACCGACAGCGAGUAAAUCCACUGUCGAUUUCCUAAUUUAACUCGAUUUCGAAUCGCCUGUUAUCUUCCGAACUUCAUUAACUUAUUCGUUAUCCGCUCUCAACAAACUGAUCGUCAUCGCCGUGUCAAUAAAUCUAAAUAACAAGAAGAUUCAUCAUCAACUGACUCAACAGAAGUUUCAAUAGCAAGAUAGAACCAAUCAAAAGCACUACAGGAUCUACAAACAAACAUGAUGGUUCAAAAGACACAUUUCAAUCAGUUUGUAAAUGUCAAAACGAAAAGACCAGUUACCAGCAGUCGAACGAAGGAUCGUGAAAUGGAACGAAGAGUAAAGAUCAGGGG
rnacentral:misc_RNA from 1 species